ensembl:lncRNA
CCAAAAGUGUCUUUCUACAAAGAGAGAAACAUAAACUGAUGGACAAUCACCAAGCCCAGCUCCAGAGAUGGGGCUAUAUGCGUAAUAUGGUUGUGUCCCUGAUAGCACGUUGUUUAUUACUAUAUUCUGCACUAUUUCCGGGCUGCAGUCAGAAUCGGGUGUCAUUAGGGUCUCAUGGCAUGUUUGUAUGUCCGUCGUGGUUGGGUGUACUACCAACUGGCCAUGGCUGAGUGAUAUGUGUUCUAUUGGCUGGAGGUCACUGGUAUUAGGAAGGGAUUUGCUGGGCUUUCAUAAGAAAGGGGGGAAAAAAACAUUAUUCUCCGCAUUAUGACAGGGCCUUCUCUCCAGUCAACUGGAUCCAACAAGUCCCUGGUCACAUGACCAUGUUGCAAUAAGCGGCUAUCAUCAAAUGUCCCAGUAGCCACAACAGAGCUACUCAGCAGAGACGGGCAGAACAGUGCUACACAGAACAGAUCUACUCAGCGGAGACAGGGAGGACAGAAUUACACAGAACAGGGCUACUCAAUAGAGACAGGCAGAAAGCAGAACUGUUUAGUAGACAGAGCUUCUAAGUAGAGACAGACAUUGGAGCGACUCAGUAGAGACUAACAGAGCUACUCAAUAGAGACAGACAUAGCAGAACUACUCAUUAGAGACAGACAGAGGUACCCAGUAGAAACAGACACAGCUACUCAGUAGAGACAGAGCUACUCAAUAGAGACAGACAUUAGAGCUACUCAAUAGAGACAGACAUUAGAGCUACUCUGUAAAGACAGAACUAUUCUGUACUGACAGAACUACUCAGAAGAGACAGAACUAUUCUGUAGAGACAGAACUACUCAGUGGAGACAGACAUUGGAGUGACUCAGUAGAGACUAACAGAGCUACUCAAUAGAGACAGACAUAGCAGAACUACUCAUUAGAGACAGGCAGAGCUACUGAGUAGAGACAGACACAGCUACUCAGUAGAGAUAGAGCUACUCAAUAGAGACAGACAUUAGAGCUACUCAGGAGAGACAGAACUACUCAGUGGAGACAGUACAACUCAGUAGAGACAGAACUACUCUGUAGAGACAGAACUACUCUGUACUGACAGAACUACUCAGAAGAGACAGAACUACUCUGUAGAGACAGAACUACUCAGUGGAGACAGACAUUGGAGUGACUCAGUAGAGACUAACAGAGCUACUCAAUAGAGACAGACAUAGCAGAACUACUCAUUAGAGACAGGCAGAGCUACUGUGUAGAGACAGACACAGCUACUCAGUAGAGACAGAGCUACUCAAUAGAGAAAGAAAGAACUACUCAAUUGAGACAGACAUUAGAGCUACUCAGUAGAGACAGACAGAGCUAUCCAGAAAAGACAGAACUACUCAGUAGAGACAGUACAACUCAGUAGAGACAGAACUACUCAGUAGAGACAAACUACUCAGUAGAGACAGUACAAUUCAGUAGAGACAGUACAACUCAGUAGAGACAGUACAACUCAGUAGAGACAAACUACUCUGUAGAGAUCGGAGACAGAAAGUAUCAGUGAAAUAAAUUCUGAACAUCAAGCACCCUUACGCUGUAACCCCUAUCUGCAUCCAAAAUUGCACCCACUAAAACAAACUAAUUUGAAUUACAU